rnacentral:sRNA from 1 species
AUCUCGGUCUCGUGCAGGUAGUGCACGUGGGUGUCGACCGCGCCCGCGGUGAGGAUCUUGCCCUCGCCGGCGAUCGCGUCGGUCCCGGGGCCGACGAUGAGAUCGGGGUGCACCCCGUCCAUGACGUCAGGGUUGCCGGACUUGCCGAUCGCGACGAUGCGGCCGUCGCGGAUGCCGACGUCGCCGCGGACGAUGCCCCAGUGAUCGAGGACGACGACAUUGGUGAUCACCAGGUCGAGGGCGCCCUCGGAGCGACUCGUCAGGGCCUGACCCAUCGACUCGCGGAU